GAUGAAGAACGUAGCGAAAUGCGAUAAGUAGUGUGAAUUGCAGAAUUCAGUGAAUCAUCGAAUCUUUGAACGCACAUUGCGCCCCUUGGUAUUCCAUGGGGCAUGCCUGUUCGAGCGUCAUUUGUACCUUCAAGCUUUGCUUGGUGUUGGGUGUUUGUCCUGAGGGACUCACCUUAAAAUUAUUGGCAGCCAGUGUUUUGGUUUUGAAGCGCAGCACAAGUCGCGAUUCAAACGAAUACGCCAGCUUCCACAAGCCUUUUUCACUUUUGACCUCGGAUCAGGUAGGGAUACCCGCUGAACUUAAGCAUAUCAAUAAGCGGAGGA
rnacentral:misc_RNA from 1 species